GGCAAGCACAAGGCGGAGAACCGGGAGGAGGCUUAUGCACAGCUGCACACAUUGAUUCGUAAACAGUACGUAAGCACUGGUUGCAGUUGCUAUAUGUCUGGAACUUGCUUCAAAAUAAUACAGGAGGUAGGGAAAGAAUGGGUUACAGGUGAAGCAAAAUGGGCCCUGACUUGACCUUGAAGUUACAGGACAGGUCCAGGAGGUUCAGUGAUACAAGGUGUUCCAACUUCAUACACUUGUGUAUUUUUGAAAUGUUCCACAAUAAUAAAUUAAAUCAAUAUGUUUUUAGAAA